UACGUAGGGUCCGAGCGUUGUCCGGAAUUACUGGGCGUAAAGAGCUCGUAGGUGGUUUGUCGCGUUGUUCGUGAAAACUCACAGCUUAACUGUGGGCGUGCGGGCGAUACGGGCAGACUUGAGUACUGCAGGGGAGACUGGAAUUCCUGGUGUAGCGGUGGAAUGCGUAGAUAUCUGGAGGAACACCGGUGGCGAAGGCGGCAUCCUGGACCAACACUGACGCUGAGGAGCGAAAGCCAGGGGAGCAAACGGG
rnacentral:rRNA from 1 species